rnacentral:rRNA from 1 species
CCUACGGGAGGCAGCAGUAGGGAAUAUUGCUCAAUGGGGGAAACCCUGAAGCAGCAACGCCGCGUGGAGGAUGAAGGUUUUCGGAUUGUAAACUCCUUUUGUUAGAGAAGAUAAUGACGGUAUCUAACGAAUAAGCACCGGCUAACUCCGUGCCAGCAGCCGCGGUAAUACGGAGGGUGCAAGCGUUACUCGGAAUCACUGGGCGUAAAGAGCGCGUAGGCGGGAUAGCAAGUCAGAUGUGAAAUCCUAGGGCUUAACCAUAGAACUGCAUUUGAAACUGUUAUUCUAGAGUAUGGGAGAGGUAGGUGGAAUUCUUGGUGUAGGGGUAAAAUCCGUAGAGAUCAAGAGGAAUCCUCAUUGCGAAGGCGACCUGCUAGAACAUAACUGACGCUGAUGCGCGAAAGCGUGGGGAGCAAACAGGAUUAGAUACCCCUGUAGUC